rnacentral:rRNA from 1 species
GAUGAACGCUAGCGGCAGGCUUAACACAUGCAAGUCGAGGGGUAACAGGGAGGAGCUUGCUUUUCCGCUGACGACCGGCGCACGGGUGCGUAACGCGUAUAGAACCUACCUUUUACAGGGGAAUAGCCCAGAGAAAUUUGGAUUAAUGCCCCAUAGUAUUAUUGAAUGGCAUCAUUUAAUAAUUAAACAUUUAUGGGUAAAAGAUGGCUAUGCGUUCUAUUAGCUAGAUGGUAAGGUAACGGCUUACCAUGGCAACGAUAGAUAGGGGUCCUGAGAGGGAGAUCCCCCACACUGGUACUGAGACACGGACCAGACUCCUACGGGAGGCAGCAGUGAGGAAUAUUGGACAAUGGAGGCAACUCUGAUCCAGCCAUGCCGCGUGCAGGAAGACGGUCCUAUGGAUUGUAAACUGCUUUUAUAUAGGAAGAAACCUUUCCACGUGUGGAAAGCUGACGGUACUAUAAGAAUAAGCACCGGCUAACUCCGUGCCAGCAGCCGCGGUAAUACGGAGGGUGCAAGCGUUAUCCGGAAUCAUUGGGUUUAAAGGGUCCGUAGGCGGACUAAUAAGUCAGGGGUGAAAUCCAACAGCUUAACUGUUGAACUGCCUUUGAUACUGUUAGUCUUGAGUUAUAUGGAAGUAGAUAGAAUAUGUAGUGUAGCGGUGAAAUGCUUAGAGAUUACAUAGAAUACCGAUUGCGAAGGCAGUCUACUACGUAUAUACUG